ACCUUGCUGACGAGUGCCAAGUAGUACGAAACCCGGGUCAAGGGU
rfam:Schistosoma haematobium scaffold536_6, whole genome shotgun sequence.